rnacentral:lncRNA from 1 species
CUGCCUGGAGUAGCGGCGGCAGCCAGAGGAGGGGGCGCCUCCGUGGUCCCCAGAUGGGGAGACUGAGGCCCUGUGCCAUGUGUCGCUUUGAGAGGUGGAGCUGGACUUAAUUCACAUCCUGACCCUGCAGGAUUCUCCUUUCACUCGGGGCAUCCCUGGGCCAAGGCCCCGAGGCUCACCACCUGGCACCCACAUUCUUCCUGGGAGCAGGGGGACUGCCAGGAUGCUGCGACAGUGGACGGGGCAGUCGGGGCCCGCCCCGGGGGAGGCAGAACCCCCGCCUGCAGGCGAGGAGCUAUGGGAGCAGGAGAUGGAGCGGCUCUACGUCUCCCGGGCGCCGUUGCGGACGCUGCCCUAUGCCCUCGUGGACAAGCGCUUCAUCCGGCAUCUGCGGGAGCCGAAUGGAGUGAAGAGCUCGUGCUGGCAGCGGUGGCAGCGCAGGUGGCAGAUCGCACGACGACGCCUGGGGGAGGCAGCCCACCGGCUGGCCCAGGGCUUCGGGCUCUGGGAGGGGGCUCUCUACGAGAUCGGAGGUAGGACCCACGACGACCCCUACUUCCCACCUCCUAUCU